GUUGCCGCAAUACACUCACUUCGUUAUCGUGCGUCUCCGCUAUUCACUUGGUUCGUUUACAAGCGACUUAAGCAUUACUGUUGUUUCUUUUAUGUAUCAUACGAUACGUCUAGGUAAUUUCAAAACACUAGAAAAACUAGCAGCUACUAGCAGCACUAGUGUACUCACUAGUAAUACUAGUAAGCGAUUAGCGAAUACGUAAAUAAAACUAGCUUACUAGAAUUGCUACGAAUGUCCCCUAGUAUGUCAAUAUAUAAUAUAUCAAAUAAAUUUGUUCAGAAACAAAAUACCUAUUAUAUUUCUCCUAAAAUCUACAAAUAUUCAGAAUUCAGUUAUUCGAAGAAUUCAGUUUGGCGCUAAAAAUGUCCUAUGCGAUAUCAAGGAUAAUCAAUUAAGAGACAAGAAGACAAUCUCUAACGGUGGAAGGUUGGGUGCAGAAAAUUUGAAAAAAGAGCACACCUUGGAUCCAAAAUGGGAACGUUAUGCUUGUGGAAAGACAAAAGAUCAAUUGUUUAUGACACAGCUGGCGCACAUGAUCUUGAAGAAAACCGCACUACAGCCAAGAUCACUCAACUUUUUUAAGAGUUAAGCUAUAAGGUAUAAUUAAGGUAGUGUAGUUUUUAUUAUUAUAACUAAUUUUAUGUUGAAAUUAAUAAGAUUUCAAUUGUAGUAUCAAGAAUGCUUAGAUGUAAGUCAUUUUAAUCUGGAAAAUGCCAGCGGUCAGUGUCUAAAUAUCUUAAAAAUCCUUUUGAAAAAAACAAGUUUAUUUACCUUUUUGUGCAAAAACAGUUAAUACAACAAAAUAUUCAAGACAAUUUUUCACAAAUUGAAUCACUAAUAAAUCCUUUAUUUUAAAUAACGUAAGAGUUCUAUUUUAAAGAGCACUUUUCAGUUUAAAAAUAAGCUAUAUGUAAUUUUUAUGAUUUCCCGAGAAUUAAUGUGAAACUAUAGUCAACACUUUGUAUGACGGUGUUAUAUUUCAAUAAAAUCUCAGGAGAAGUAUCACAUUCAUUCUCGGACAUAUUAUGUGCAUGAAUAGAAAAUGUUUUUUAGCGGUUCAGCCUAUGAAACGUUUACGGCACAUAUAAAAUCUAUAUUGUUGAGGCCACUAGGGAUUUUGGGGUGGCUUGAUUUGGAUAUGCCAUUUGCUUCAUACAAUUCAUAUUUUGAAUAUCCUUUCUUUCGGUUCACAAUCCCGUGUGGAAAAAAAGUGACUGACUGACCAAAAUCCCCACCAAAAAUGCAACAAAAUCGUAUUAUAUCUUCUUCCACUUUUACAGCGUGUAACAUUGUCAAUAAGUGAUGCAGAAAUAAAUGUCAAACCCCAGUAAACAAAAAUGUAAAGCUUUCAGUAUAUUUUAAUGUUGAAAAAUGUAACGUAUUGACCCAUUUUUAUGGUCAUUUUCUUGUAAAAUAGAAGGUAGAUCAUUGGCAUAUAUUUUCAAUAAAGAAUAAAUUCUGAAUCAUAAUGUGAAUCUGAUCCAACACAA